rnacentral:rRNA from 1 species
GAUGAACGCUAGCGACAGGCUUAACACAUGCAAGUCGAGGGGCAGCAUAGAAGUAGCAAUACUUUGGUGGCGACCGGCGCACGGGUGAGUAACGCGUAUGCAACCUACCUAUCAGAGGGGAAUAACCCGGCGAAAGUCGGACUAAUACCGCAUAAAACAGGGGCACCGCAUGGUGAUAUUUGUUAAAGAAAUUCGCUGAUAGAUGGGCAUGCGUUCCAUUAGGUAGUUGGUGAGGUAACGGCUCACCAAGCCGACGAUGGAUAGGGGAACUGAGAGGUUGGUCCCCCACACUGGUACUGAGACACGGACCAGACUCCUACGGGAGGCAGCAGUGAGGAAUAUUGGUCAAUGGGCGGGAGCCUGAACCAGCCAAGUCGCGUGAAGGAAGAAGGAUCUAUGGUCCGUAAACUUCUUUUGCAGGGGAAUAAAGUGCGGGACGUGUCCUGUUUUGUAUGUACCCUGAGAAUAAGGAUCGGCUAACUCCGUGCCAGCCGCCGCGGUAAGAC